GAUGAACGCUAGCGGCAGGCUUAAUACAUGCAAGUCAAGGGGGUAGCAAUACAACCGGCGCACGGGUGAGUAACGCGUACACAACAUACCAUAUACUGGGGUAUAGCUUCGGGAAACUGAAGGUAAUCCCCCAUAAUAUUGCGGGAAGGCAUCUUUCUGCAAUUAAAGUUUCGACGGUAUAUGAUUGGUGUGCGUUUGAUUAGCUAGUUGGUAGGGUAACGGCUCACCUAGGCUACGAUCGUUAGGGGGCCUGAGAGGGUUAUCCCCCACACUGGUACUGAGACACGGACCAGACUCCUACGGGAGGCAGCAGUGAGGAAUAUUGCGCAAUGGAGGCAACUCUGACGCAGCCACGCCGCGUGCAGGAAGAAGGCGCUACGCGUUGUAAACUGCUUUUAACCGGGAAGAAACCCUCCGACGUGUCGGAGGUUGACGGUACCGGAGGAAUAAGCACCGGCUAACUUCGUGCCAGCAGCCGCGGU
rnacentral:rRNA from 1 species